GUUUUUACUUGCUAUAGUGAUAUCACUAUUGUUUAAUUUUCCCUUUAUCAUCAUUCUCCUUGAUGAGGGGGUUGCUCAGAAGGACCUCCUCACACCUGUCCAGAAUAUCAUAAAGGAGUAGAGACCCUUGCUGCAACUUCUCCCUUCUGUCAUUUAACCCUUAACCUAUAUAACACCCAGUUAUAUAGUUAUAUGAGUUAUUCUGGCAUGGAGUGCUGUUACCUUCCAAGCAGACGCAUCCGAGGGGAGCUCCACAGCAAGGUAUGAAUAAGACAUGAAGGAGACCCUUUGUUGUUGUUUCAAAGGCCACAUCAACAUUUCUACAAAGGAAUCCCAAGGGUCUUGUUGCCACUUCACUCUCUGAUGAAGCAGAUUAGCUGCCUCACUAGGUGACAUCAUAGAGUAACUAGUUGAAAACAGCACUUCAAGGGCUCCUUUAAAAAAUAUAGGAAGAAUUAAGCCUCAUGAAAGCCCGGGGAGACCUGCUGGUAAGUCAGACCUCAGGGAGAUUUUUGUCUGCUGCAUCCUGAGGAGGAGGAUGAAGAAGAGAUAAAUGGCAGGCCGUACAACAGAAAACAAAAUGAAAACCUGUUGCCCUUUGAAAAAAUUAAAGACAUUCUAAAGCUUAUUGACAACGGGAAGAAAUCAACCGAUCACACAGAGCGGCAGCGUCUCUGUCUUCUAUAUGACUUCAAUGUUUUUUCCCAGCCACAUCAUCAAACUGAAUAAAAGAGACCCUCAUAGACAGUAUCACCCAAGAUAAAAUGAAGGCACAGUAGUGAUGACAUUUUCUUUCAUAUCUUGUGGAUGUGCCUUAAAGGAGACAGCAAGAGGAGUUAAACCAUGUUCAUUAUAAUGAAAGCUGGCUUCUAAAGCCUUUGUUCCAGAGCAAUGUUUUGUAACAUCUAUUAACACUUUGAUAUCCAUUCAAAAGAGAAAUGUGGAUAAGGAUUUUUUUUCCAACUUCAAAAUGAUUAACAAUGUAUAACAAGCAUGUUGCUGGAAAAUUGCUUGAAGAGUUUGGAACUUCUGGCUCACACAUCCUCUAAAUACAUAUGGCAAUAAAGCUCACUUGAAAAUUAACACUGUUCUAUGGCCCACAUCCUCUGCAUGAAACUGCAUGGAAAUUUCCAAAAGAAAUUGGAGCGUUUUCCAAGUUAUUGACACCUGGGCACAAAAUAUGCAUAUUGCGGACUAGUAAAGUAUGUUGUUGGAGUUUAAUGGUUAGGGGUAUGUAACUGUGAUAAAGGAGUCUGCCAUUAUAUUUACAUAAUACAUAUUUAUGCAAAUAAAGUAAACCAUAA
rnacentral:lncRNA from 11 species